rnacentral:rRNA from 1 species
AGUGAACGCUGGCGGUAGGCCUAACACAUGCAAGUCGAACGGCAGCACAGUAAGAGCUUGCUCUUACGGGUGGCGAGUGGCGGACGGGUGAGGAAUACAUCGGAAUCUACUUUUUCGUGGGGGAUAACGUAGGGAAACUUACGCUAAUACCGCAUACGACCUACGGGUGAAAGCAGGGGAUCUUCGGACCUUGCGCGAUUGAAUGAGCCGAUGUCGGAUUAGCUAGUUGGCGGGGUAAAGGCCCACCAAGGCGACGAUCCGUAGCUGGUCUGAGAGGAUGAUCAGCCACACUGGAGCUGAGACACGGUCCAGACUCCUACGGGAGGCAGCAGUGGGGAAAAUUGGACAAUGGGCGCAAGCCUGAUCCAGCCAUACCGCGUGGGUGAAGAAGGCCUUCGGGUUGUAAAGCCCUUUUGUUGGGAAAGAAAAGCAGCAGGUUAAUACCCCGCUGUUCUGACGGUACCCAAAGAAUAAGCACCGGCUAACUUCGUG